AGGGUGUGAGAAGAGGAGGGCGUGGCUUAAUUUGUGCAUGAGUGAUUUCAUGAGAAAUAUUUUCUCGUGUAAUAAAUGGGACAUUAAAAGAGGAUAAGGUCAAGGCGCUAAGAUUGGUUGCUCAUUCAAAUUCAAACUUUGUUUUGAAUUUGAAUGGCCAACCAAUCAUCCUUAUCCACUCAUUUGAUGCAUUAAAGUAGGGCAUGAGGAGGGCUUUGCGUGAGGAAAAAUUCAUGAGAACUUCCUUCUCGUGAAUUCAAAAGGGCACAGUGGA
rnacentral:lncRNA from 1 species